rnacentral:rRNA from 1 species
GACGUAGGGCGCGAGCGUUGUCCGGAUUUAUUGGGCGUAAAGAGCUCGUAGGCGGUUUGUCGCGUCGUUCGUGAAAACUCACAGCUCAACUGUGAGCUUGCGGUCGAUACGGGCAGGCUAGAGUUCGGUAGGGGAGACUGGAAUUCCUGGUGUAGCGGUGAAAUGCGCAGAUAUCAGGAGGAACACCGGUGGCGAAGGCGGGUCUCUGGGCCGAUACUGACGCUGAGGAGCGAAAGCGUGGGGAGCGAACAGG